rnacentral:rRNA from 1 species
GACGAACGCUGGCGGCGUGCCUAAUACAUGCAAGUCGAACGCAGUGGGGACGGGUGAGUAACACGUGGGUAACCUCCCAUCAGAGGGGAUAACACUUGGAAACAGGUGCUAAACCGAUACUGAUGGAUGGACCCGCGGUGCAUUAGCUAGUUGGUGAGGUAACGGCUCACCAAGGCCACGAUGCAUAGCCGAGCUGAGAGGGGAAGAGGCCGAACUGGGACGGAGACACGGCCAAGACUCCUACGUGAGGCAGCAGUAGGGAAGGUUCGGCAAUGGACGAAAGUCUGACUGAGCAACGUCGGGUGAGUGAAGAAGGUUUUCGUAUCGUAAAACUCUGUUGUGAGAGAAGCGGGAUCUAACCAGAAAGCCACGUCUAACUACGUGCCAGAAGCCUCGGUAAUUC